rnacentral:lncRNA from 1 species
CUUUUCGUCACUACAAUAUGUAUUAUGUUUGUAUCGCAGUCAAUGAUGGUCAGGCGAACCGAUUUCACAUUUGCGCGGCAUUAUGGACAACACGUCGUAGGUUUUGGAGGAGCCCGAGACAGUUACACCAAGCACUACAAUCAGAAGAGAAACAAAUGUGGCCCAGUAGGCAAUUUUCACAUCGAUAUGCGCGGAACAGGACUGAAGGUUGACGACGAUCUUGCUUGGAUGCCUGAAGGACGUUAUUCGUAUGGAGAAUGGACCAGAGACCAUGGAAAUGCCACCGUGGACCUCCUGGCAGGCGGCUAUGCGGGAGGACUGAAACCCAUCGAGCCCAUGCUUCUCAUGCAUAAUCCAAACGAUAUAUACUAAAGUUUUAAACAUCGAAGUCGGACAGUCGACAAAUGGCUUCCAGGUACAAGAUAAGCUCGUCAUCUGUUAACCAUCUACAAAUAUAUGAAACGUGAAUCACACUUGAGAUUCAUACACCAGGCGCCGACCCAAGGAAGGCGCCGAGGGGCGUAUCCCCCAUCCCUUUGUUUUGCCGACGUCAAAAUAUAACAAUAAUAGCCUGACCAAACACCUCUUACCUCUUACCC